UCGGGAGUUAUUGCUUGAACCGCGCCGCGCGCGCCCUCAUAAUUCGCCCAUGGUUGUAAUUCCGGCAAUCUGGAGGCGUUCUGGACAGGGGUUCGACUCCCCUCAUCUCCACCCAAGCGUACAGGCGUUGCAUGGUUGUGCGUUUGGGUGGGGAUGUACCGGUUUCGACAGGGCGGGCAAAGGUGCGCAGGCAACCCGAGAGGCGACGGACGUAAUCCGCGCAAAUCCAUAAACGCCAACGAUGAGCGUUUCGCAAUCGCUGCAUAAGCUGAUUGCCGGGGCCGCUGAAGCCUUGUAACCCAAGACAGCCGGCGGGGGCCUCGGCCCCCGCCGUCA
rnacentral:tmRNA from 1 species